rnacentral:rRNA from 1 species
CCACGUAGGGAGCAAGCGUUGUCCGGAUUUAUUGGGCGUAAAGAGCUCGUAGGCGGUUUUGUAAGUCGGAUGUGAAAACUCAGGGCUCAACCCUGAGACGCCAUCCGAUACUGCAAUGACUAGAGUCCGGUAGGGGAGCAUGGAAUUCCUGGUGUAGCGGUGGAAUGCGCAGAUAUCAGGAGGAACACCAGUGGCGAAGGCGGUGCUCUGGGCCGGUACUGACGCUGAGGAGCGAAAGCAUGGGGAGCAAACAGGAUUAGAUACCCUAGUAGUCC